rnacentral:rRNA from 1 species
UAGCCUACGGGACGCAGCAGUGGGGGAUAUUGCACAAUGGGGGAAACCCUGAUGCAGCGACGCCGCGUGAGGGAAGACGGUUUUCGGAUUGUAAACCUCUGUCUUUGGGGACGAAUUGAGACGGUACCCAAGGAGGAAGCUCCGGCUAACUACGUGCCAGCAGCCGCGGUAAUACGUAGGGAGCAAGCGUUGUCCGGAAUUACUGGGUGUAAAGGGAGCGCAGGCGGCACGGCAAGCCUGAUGUGAAAGCCCGCGGCCCAACCGCGGGACUGCAUUGGGAACUACCGGGCUGGAGUGCCGGAGAG